rfam:Myotis brandtii contig233193, whole genome shotgun sequence.
GGUGGUUCUCAGGUGACGCACCCCAGAAUCGGGCUCCCUCCUCUCUGGUUCUGGGUGCAUUACCCGAGAACCACC